CCGGGCCGGAGCGCCGCCGGCCAGCGCCAUUGAGGAGCCGGGAGAGGAAGCGCCGCGCAGUGCCGGGCUAGGCGGGCGGCCCGGGACACAGACAGGUUCUUCUAUGACCAUGAGAGGGAGAAGUAAAGAAUGAUCCAUGAUUUUUAAACACCUUGUCUUGAGGAUAUAGUCAUGUUGGAAGGUCUUGUAGCCUGGGUUCUCAAUACUUAUCUGGGAAAAUACGUCAAUAACCUGAACACCGAUCAGCUCUCUGUCGCGCUUCUGAAAGGUGCUGUUGAGUUGGAAAACUUGCCCUUAAAGAAAGAUGCCUUGAAAGAACUGGAGUUACCGUUUGAAGUCAAAGCCGGCCUGAUUGGGAAGGUAACGCUUCAGAUUCCCUUUUACCGCCCCCACGUGGACCCUUGGGUGAUCUCCAUCUCCAGCCUUCACUUAAUCGGAGCCCCUGAAAAGUUAGAGGAUUUCAACGAUGAGAAGGAGAAGCUCCUGGAGAGGGAGCGCAAGAAGGCUCUGCUCCAAGCCCUGGAGGACAGAUGGAAGAACGAACGCCAGCGGAAGGGGGAGUCCUACUGGUACUCAGUCACCGCUUCUGUGGUUACAAGGAUUGUGGAGAAUAUUGAAUUAAAAAUUCAAGAUGUCCAUUUGCGCUUUGAAGAUGGUAUUACCAAUCCGUCCCAUCCUUUUGCAUUCGGCAUCUGUAUUAAGAAUGUGUCCGUGCAGAAUGCUGUGAAUGAGCCUGUACAGAAGUUAAUGCGGAAAAAGCAACUAGAUGUGGCAGACUUCAGCGUCUACUGGGAUGCCCACUGCACUUUGUUGGGGGACUUGCCCCAGGUGGAGUUACAGGAGGCCAUGGACAAGAGCAUGGAGAGCCGCGCGCAUCACUACAUCCUGGAGCCCGUGUGCGCAUCUGCUCUCUUGAAGAGAAACUGCUCCAAAGAGCCCCUGAGGUCUCGGCACAGCCCUCGGAUCGAGUGCGACAUUCACCUGGCGACCAUCCCCGUGAAACUCUCUCAGCUGCAGUACCGGCAGAUCAUGGAGUUCCUCAAGGAGCUGGAACGAAAGGAGAGGCAGGUCAAGUUCCGAAGAUGGAAGCCCAAAGUGGCCGUGUCUGAGAACUGCCGAGAAUGGUGGUAUUUUGCUCUGAAUGCCAACCUGAACGAGAUCAGAGAGGAGAGGAAGCGCUGUACCUGGGACUUCUUGUUGCACCGGGCCCGUGAUGCCGUGUCUUACACCGACAAAUACUUCAGCAAGCUGAAAGGAGGCUUGCUGCAUGCAGACGACAGGGAGGAGAUGCGCCGGAUUGAGGAGGAACAGAGCUUUGAGGAGUUGAAGAUUUUGCGUGAACUGGUUCAUGAGCGAUUUCACAAGCAGGAAGAACUGGCGGAGAGCCUACGAGAGCCUCAGUUGGAUUCUCCGGGGGACUCCCCUGGGGACCCGGAGACAAGUGGAGGCAGUGGGAUGCUCCAGUACCUUCAGUCCUGGUUUCCUGGCUGGGGUGGCUGGUACGGGCAGCAGACCCCUGAGGGGAGAGUGGUUGAGGGGCUGUCGGCAGAGCAGCAUGGACAGUGGACUCCCGAGGAGAUCCUAGGCACAGAGGAGUUUUUCGACCCCACCACUGAUGCGUCCUGCCUGAGUUCCUACAUGAAGCGGGACCUGGUGUUUGCCACACUGAACGUGCAGCUGCAGCGGGGCACCGUGACGCUGCUGCACCAGGAGCCGGGUGGCCCUCGGGCCGAGGAGUGCGCCUUCAUGCAGCUCGAGUUCUCAGGUGUGAAGCUGCUAGCAGAGUCUCUUCCUCGAAGAAAUUCUUCCUUGCUCUCAGUCCGGUUGGGUGGACUGUUUCUUCGAGACCUGGCCACAGAAGGCACCAUGUUUCCCCUUCUGGUGUUCCCGAAUUCACAAAAAGAAGUUGGCAGAGUCUCACAGUCUUUUGGUCUCCAGACAAUAUCUGCAGACAGAAGUGAUCAUAACCCUGCUGCGGAUCCAGAUGACCCGGUUUUUGAGAUGCUGUAUGAGAGAAAUCCAGUGCACAGCCAUUUUGAGAGGCGGCUGAAUGUCAGCACGAGGCCCUUGAACAUCAUAUAUAAUCCUCAGGCUAUUAAAAAAGUAGCAGACUUUUUCUACAAGGGAAAGGUUCAUACCUCAGGUUUUGGCUAUCAAUCUGAACUCGAGCUGAGAGUGGCAGAAGCUGCCCGAAGACAGUAUAACAAACUGAAGAUGCAGACCAAGGCAGAAAUCCGACAAACGCUCGAUCGUUUGCUGGUGGGGGACUUCAUUGAGGAGAGCAAAAGGUGGACCGUGCGACUAGAUAUUUCCGCCCCUCAGGUGAUCUUCCCUGAUGAUUUCAAAUCCAGGAACCCCGUGUUAGUUGUUGUGGAUCUAGGGAGAAUGCUUUUGACAAAUAGCCAAGAUGACUCCAAGAGGAAAAGUGGGGACGGGCUGGCGUCUGAAGAGGACCAGUUUAGUGAUGACGAGUAUAAGACACCCCUUGCCACACCUCCCAGCACCCCCCCUCCCGAGACAAGCAGCGGUAACGGAGGGAAAACAGCGCCAUUUGCUGAGAUGGAAUUCAGCGCAGAGCAGCUGCAGGCACAUCUCAUGAGCACGAAGAUGUAUGAGAGAUACUCCCUGUCAUUCAUGGACCUCCAGAUCAUGGUCGGACGAGUGAAGGACAAUUGGAAGCAUGUCCAGGAUAUUGAUGUGGGGCCAACGCACGUGGUUGAGAAGUUCAACGUUCACCUCCAGUUAGAACGUCGCUUGAUUUAUACUUCAGAUCCCAAGUACCCUGGAGCCGUGCUCUCGGGCAACCUCCCAGACUUGAAAAUUCACAUCAAUGAAGAGAAAAUAUCUGCUCUGAAGAAUUGCUUUGCUCUCCUGACCACCCCAGAGGUAAAGACUUCGGACACUCAGUUUAAGGAGAAGAUUUUUCCACAAGGCGGGCAGCGGGGCAGUUUGCAAGACUCAGUCAUGAAUUUAACCCAGAGUUUCGUGAUGCUUGAGCAGCAUACCCGGGAGGUUCUGGUGGAGUCACAGCUCCUCCUGGCCGAGUUUAAGGUGAACUGCAUGCAGCUUGGUGUGGAAAGCAACGGUCGGUACAUUUCUGUGCUCAAGGUGUUUGGGACCAAUGCUCACUUUGUGAAGAGGCCUUACGAUGUGGAGGUCUCCCUGACCGUCCACGGACUGCUCCUGGUGGACACGAUGCAGACGUACGGUGCUGAUUUUGACCUUUUGAUGGCUUCGCAUAAGAACUUGAGCUUCGAUGUCCCAACAGGAAGCCUCCGGGACAGCAGGGCCCAGUCUCCUGUCUCCGGAUCCAACGCGGCCCACCUCACCAGUGCGGCCACACUGAAUGACCCGUCGGCUACUGGUGUUUCACUUGACAAAAUUAUCACCAAAGAACAGGAGUCCCUCAUCAAACUGGAGUAUCAGUUUGUGAGUUCAGAGUGCCCGUCGAUGAAUUUGGACAGCACUCUUCAGGUGAUUUCGUUACAGGUGAAUAAUCUGGAUAUUAUCCUAAAUCCGGAGACAAUCGUGGAGCUGAUUGGUUUUCUUCAGAAAUCUUUUCCCAAGGAAAAAGAUGAUUUGAGUCCUCAGCCUUUAAUGACUGAUUUUGAAAGAAGCUUCAGGGAAGAAGGAACUUACCAAGCUACAUAUGAACAGAACACCGAGGUUGCCGUGGAAAUCCAUAGGCUUAACUUACUGCUCCUUCGGACAGUAGGGAUGGCAAAUGGCGAGAAAUACGGCAGAAAAAUUGCAACUGCGAGCAUCGGCAGCACCAAAGUUAACGUCUCAAUGGGUAGCACAUUUGACAUGAAUGGUUCUCUCGGCUGUUUGCAGCUCAUGGAUUUGACUCAAGAGAACGUUAAGAACCAGUACGUUGUCAGCAUUGGAAAUUCCAUAGGCUAUGAAAAUAUCAUCAGCGACAUUGGCUACUUUGAAUCUGUAUUUGUUAGGAUGGAAGACGCAGCCGUGAGUGAAGCUCUGAGUUUCACCUUUGUUGAGAAAUCCAAACAGGAAUGUCUUCUCAACCUCAAGAUGGCUUCCUUGCAUUACAACCACUCUGCCAAGUUUCUGAAGGAGUUGACGCUGUCCAUGGAUGAGCUGGAAGAAAAUUUUCGAAGUAUGCUGAAAAGCGCAGCUACCAAAGUCACUACGGUACUGGCUACCAAGACGGCCGAGUACAGUGAGAUGGUGUCACUCUUCGAAACGCCAAGGAAGCCUCGGGAAUCCUUUGUCGUAGAAGAAAAUGAAAUGUAUGGGUUUGGCCUCGCUGGGUCUCAUUCUGACACCGUAAAGCUGAUCUUGAACAUAAACAUUGAAUCCCCUGUUGUGUCUAUCCCUCGGAAGCCCGGGAGUCCCGAGUUGUUGGUGGGACACUUAGGACAAAUAUUCAUCCAGAAUUUUGUGUCAGGAGACGAUGAAUCCAGAAGUGACCGUCUGCGGGUAGAAAUUAAAGACAUUAAGUUAUAUUCUUUGAACUGCACCCAGUUGCCAGGCAGAGAGGGUCCUGGGUCCGAAGUAAGCCGGGGGUUUUGCUCUCCUUCUGGCUCUGCCAGUGCCAACAGUCAGGAGGAAGCUCAUUUCACCCGACAUGAUUUCUUUGAAUCUUUGCAUAGAGGUCAAGCUUUUCACAUCCUGAACAACACCACCAUUCAGUUUAAACUGGAGAAGAUCCCUAUAGAGAGAGAAUCUGAGUUGACUUUCUCCCUUAGUCCAGAUGACCUGGGAACUUCUAGCAUCAUGAAGAUCGAAGGGAAAUUUGUCAACCCAGUCCAGGUGGUGUUAGCAAAGCAUGUAUAUGAGCAGGUUUUACAAACGCUGGACAAUCUCGUGUAUAGUGAAGAUCUGAAUAAAUUUCCAGUCAGUGCUACCUCCUCACCUUGCCCUAAUUCUCCUCUGCCUUCCCUCAGUACCUGUGGAGAGCCUUCCACUGAAAGGAAGGAGAAUGGAUUGUUCAGCCACUCCAGCCUUUCUAACUCUUCUCAAAAGUCCUUGUCUCUGAAGGAAGUCAAAUCUUUUACCCAGAUUCAAGCCAACUUUUGUAUAUCAGAGCUUCAAGUCCAGCUCAGUGGAGAUCUGACUCUGGGGGCCCAGGGUCUCGUGAGCUUAAAGUUUCAGGAUUUUGAGGUGGAAUUCAGUAAAGACCACCCUCAGACUCUAUCUGUGCAGAUUGCCCUGCGCUCUCUACUGAUGGAAGACUUACUGGAGAAAAACCCAGACUCCAAAUACAAGAACUUGAUGGUGUCUCGGGGAGCCCCUAAGCCAUCCAGUUUAGCACAAAAAGAGUAUCUUUCUCAGUCUUGUCCUUCAGUAUCCAAUGUGGAGUACCCCGACAUGCCUCGGUCUCUCCCUUCCCACAUGGAAGAAGCUCCGAAUGUCUUCCAGCUGUAUCAGAGACCCACCUCGGCUUCCCGGAAGAAGCAAAAGGAAGUCCAAGACAAAGACUGUCCCUUGACCCCACCCCCUUCUCCAACAGUAGAUGAGCCCAAGAUACUUGCUGGGAAGAGUAAAUUUGAUGAUUCCUUGGUACAUAUCAAUGUAUUCUUGGUGGAUAAGAAGCAUCCAGAAUUCUCUUCCAGUUAUAAUCGAGUUAACCGGAACAUUGAUGUCGAUUUUAACUGCUUGGAUGUGCUGAUUACGCUGCAGACCUGGGUCGUGAUACUAGAUUUUUUUGGAAUUGGCUCCACUGCGGACAACCACGCUAUGAAGGUGCUGCCUGAGGACAUUCUGCAAAAUGUGAAGUCAGAAUCAAAUGCUCUCCUGGAGUCUGAGCUUCAGGAUCCGGUUAACACCAAGCUGGACCUCAAGGUUCAUUCGCUCUCUCUCGUGCUGAAUAAGACCACCAGUGAGCUUGCUAAAGCCAGUGUGUCCAAAUUGGCUGCACACCUGGAAAUGAUUGACGGAGACCUGGCCUUACAGGGCAGCAUCGGGAGCCUGUCCCUGAGUGACCUCACAGCGCACGGAGAAUUCUACAGAGAGCGCUUCACAACCAGUGGGGAAGAAGCGCUCAUCUUCCAGACUUUUAAAUACGGCCGGCCUGACCCACUGCUCCGGAGAGAACAUGACAUGCGAGUGAGCCUCCAGAUGGCCUCCGUGCAGUAUGUGCACACGCAGCGCUUCCAGGCCGAGGUGGUGGCCUUCGUCCAGCACUUCACGCAGCUGCAAGAUGUCUUGGGGCGCCAGCGAGCUGCCAUCGAGGGGCAGACGGUGAGAGACCAAGCCCAGCGCGGUUCACGGGUUCUCCUGGAUAUUGAGGCGGGUGCUCCCGUUCUCCUUAUCCCUGAAAGUUCCAGAUCAAAUAAUCUGAUUGUAGCAAAUUUGGGGAAGUUGAAGGUCAAGAACAAGUUUCUCUUUGCUGGUUUUCCUGGGACCUUUUCCUUACAAGAUAAGAAAUCUGUGCCUUCAGCAUCCCCAACAGGUACCCCCAAACACUACAUGAGGAAAAUGACAAGCACGGAGGACCCAAAGGGAGCACAUUCCGAGGGGCUGUUCAUGAUGCCUCCUGCUGGAAUGAGUCUAGGCAGCCUGAGGAGUGAGUCUGCGCUGAGUACUUCGACCAAGCAGCAAGGGCAACAAGCUGCGCCCUCCGCCAGCCAGCUUUCCGGUAGUCCAGAAGACCAUGUCUGCCUGCUGGAUUGCAUUGUCGUGGACCUACAAGACAUGGACAUCUUUGCUGCAGAGAGACGUCCUCGAGAGUAUUCUAAGGCCUCAGAGGACAGCAGUGGAGAUCUGGUGUUCCCUUCCUAUUCCGUGCGGCAGACGGGAGGGAGUCUCCUAACUGAGCCUUGUCGGCUGAAACUGCAGGUGGAAAGGAAUUUGGACAAAGAAAUAAGUCACACUGUGCCAGACAUUUCUAUCCAUGGCAGUCUCUCCUCAGUCCACUGCUCCCUGGAUUUGUCCAAAUACAAGCUGAUCCGGGGUUUACUGGAGAACAACCUCGGAGAGCCCAUAGAGGAAUUUAUGCGGCCUUACGAUUUACAAGACCCAAGAAUUCACACUGUUCUCAGUGGAGAAGUGUACACGUGCAUGUGCUUCCUCAUCGAUAUGGUGAACGUGAGUCUGGAGCUGAAAGAUCCCAAAGGAAAAGAAAGUACUGGGUCCUUAGCCAGAUUCGACUUCAAGAAAUGUAAACUGCUCUAUGAGAGCUUUUCCAACCAAACCAAGUCCAUUAACUUGGUUUCCCAUUCCAUGAUGGCUUUUGACACCCGCUAUGCCGGGCAGAAGGCCAGCGCCGGCCUGACAAAUGUCUUCAGCUGUAUUUUUCAGCCUUCCAGGAACAGCAGCACCACCCAGGGAUCCAUCCAGAUGGAGCUGCAUUUCAGAUCUACAAAGGAUUCGUCCUGUUUUACGGUAGUUCUCAACAAUCUGCGUGUGUUCCUCAUAUUUGACUGGCUCCUGCUAGUCCAUGAUUUUCUUCACACUCCCAGCGACAUCAAGAAACAGACUCAUGUUACUUCUUCUCGCCACCGUAACUCUAGCAGUGAAUCUGCUGUAGUUCCCAAAACUGUGAAGAGUGGAGUAGUUACCAAGCGGUCUUCCCUUCCUGUGUCCACUGAAAGGCACCUGGAGGUCAAGGUCAACGUAACAGGCACGGAGUUUGUGGUUGUUGAAGAUGUGUCCUGCUUCGAUACCAAUGCCAUUAUUCUCAAAGGCACCACAGUGCUCACCUAUAAGCCCCGAUUUGUCGAUCGCCCCUUUUCAGGGAGUUUGUUUGGCAUCGAGGUGUUCUCAUGCCGACUAGGGAACGAGCACGAGACGGCUCUUUCAAUUGUUGAUCCAGUUCAAAUUCAAGUGGAGCUCGUGGGGAACUCUUCCUACCAGAAUAGUUCGGGACUGAUGGAUGCGUUCAAUAGUGAAGAUUUCCCACCGAUCUUAGAGAUUCAGUUACAAGCCCUGGAUAUCCGGCUCUCCUACAACGAUGUUCAGCUGUUUCUUGCCAUUGCAAAGUCCAUCCCAGAGCAAGCCAGUGCUGCAGUGCCGGACCCAGUGGCCCUGGAGACCAGCUCUGUUAGCAGUUCCCUUCCCGGUGGGACUCAGGCUGGAGAGGAGAUCAGAGAAGGUUCCAGACACACCCUAGAUCCUGUCUUGGAGUUACAGCUGGCUAGACUGCAGGAGCUGGGAUUCAGCGUGGAUGAUUGCCGCAAAGCCCUGUUUGUGUGCCAAGGCCAGCUGAAGAAGGCGGCAAGUUGGUUGUUUAAGAAUGCCGAACCUCUGAAGUCUCUCUCCCUGGCAUCGAGUGGCCGCGAGAGCCAGGGGCCCGUGGCGGCGCGGCUGAUCUCCGGGGUGGAGGUGAAAGCCGAGAGCGUGUGCAUCUGCUUCAUCGAUGACUGCAUGGACUGUGACGUCCCUCUGGCUGAGCUCACCUUUUCCCGUGUGACCUUCCUGCAGCAGGCACGAGCUAGCCCCGAAGGCUACGCCCACUUCACCCUCUCCGGCGACUAUUACAACCGCGCCCUGUCAGGCUGGGAGCCGUUUAUUGAGCCGUGGCCGUGCUCCGUAUCCUGGCAACAACAGGCAGCUAGUCGUCUCCAUCCUCCUCGACUGAAGCUGGAAGCCAAGGCCAAGCCUCGUUUGGAUAUCAACAUCACCUCUGUGCUAAUUGAUCAGUAUGUAAGUACCAAAGAAUCGUGGAUGGCGGAUUACUGUAAACAGGACAAGGAAAUGGAUUCAACCACAUCAGAAGACUGGAUGGGCUCUUCAGUGGAUCCUCCAUGCUUUGGACAAAGCCUCCCCCUUGUCUACCUUAGAACUAGGAGUACAGCCAGUCUGACUAACCUAGAGCACCAGAUCUAUGCUAGAGCAGAGGUGAAGACCCCCAAGCGCCGGCAGCCGUUUGUCCCUUUUGCUCUGAGGAACCACACAGGCUGCACUUUGUGGUUUGCCACCCUGACCACCACGCCCACCAGGGCUGCGCUGUCCCACAGCGGGAGUCCGGGGCUCGUUCCAGAAGGCAAUGGCACAUUUCUUGAUGAUGCUCACAAUGUCAGUGAAUGGCGGGAAGUCCUCACGGGGGAGGAGAUUCCCUUUGAAUUUGAAGCAAGAGGAAAGCUUAGACACAGGCACACCCACGACCUCCGGAUUCAUCAGCUGCAAGUGAGAGUGAACGGCUGGGAGCAAGUGAGCCCCGUGUCUGUGGACAAAGUCGGGACAUUCUUCCGCUACGCAGCACCGGAUAAGAAUUCAUCUUCUUCUACGAUUGGCAGCCCAAGCAGCAGAACGAAUAUUAUUCAUCCCCAGGUUUAUUUCUCUUCGCUGCCACCUGUUCGGGUGGUCUUUGCCGUGACGAUGGAAGGCAGUGCUCGGAAAGUCAUCACUGUCCGGUCUGCCCUCAUUGUUAAGAACAGGCUUGAGACGCCCAUGGAGCUGAGACUGGACAGCCCGUCAGCUCCAGACAAGCCUGUGGUGCUUCCUGCCAUCAUGCCAGGGGAUUCGUUCGCGGUGCCUUUACAUCUCACUUCCUGGCGGCUCCAGGCCCGGCCCAAAGGAUUGGGUGUGUUUUUCUGUAAGGCUCCUAUUCACUGGACCAAUGUAGUGAAGACCGCAGAGGUUAGCAGCAGCAAACGAGAGUGCCACUCUAUGGACUUGGACAAAAGCCGUUUCUUCAGGUUUUGUGUGGCCAUAAAGAAGGAGAAUUAUCCGGAUUAUAUGCCCUCAAACAUAUUUUCUGAUAGUGCGAAACAGAUCUUCAGACAGCCAGGACAUACCAUAUACCUCCUUCCAACUGUGGUCAUCUGCAACUUGUUACCUUGUGAACUUGACUUUUAUGUGAAAGGGAUGCCAAUUAAUGGGACCCUGAAACCUGGCAAAGAGGUGGCCCUCCACACAGCUGAUACAUCACAGAACAUUGAACUGGGGGUAUCCCUGGAGAAUUUUCCACUCUGUAAGGAACUGCUCAUUCCACCGGGAACCCAAAACUACAUGGUGAGGAUGCGACUGUAUGACAUCAACCGGCGGCAGCUGAACCUCACCAUCCGCAUCGUGUGUCGAGCAGAAGGGUCCUUGAAGAUCUUCAUUUCUGCUCCAUAUUGGUUGAUUAACAAAACAGGGUUACCACUGAUCUUCAGACAGGACAAUGCAAAGACAGAUGCCGCAGGCCAGUUUGAGGAACACGAGCUGGCCCGGAGCCUGAGCCCUCUCUUAUUCUGCUACGCCGACAGAGAGCAGCCAAACCUCUGCACGAUGAGAAUCGGAAGGGGGAUUCACCCUGAAGGCAUGCCGGGCUGGUGUCAGGGCUUUUCACUGGAUGGUGGGAGUGGUGUCCGAGCUUUGAAAGUCAUCCAGCAAGGAAACCGCCCAGGGCUGAUCUAUAACAUCGGUAUUGAUGUCAAGAAAGGCCGAGGUCGAUAUAUCGACACCUGUAUGGUCAUCUUUGCCCCUCGUUACCUGUUAGAUAAUAAAUCAUCUCACAAGCUUGCAUUUGCACAGAGGGAAUUUGCCCGGGGACAGGGAACAGCCAAUCCUGAAGGCUACAUUUCCACCCUUCCUGGUUCCAGUGUGGUGUUCCACUGGCCUCGGAAUGAUUAUGACCAGCUCUUAUGUGUCAGACUGAUGGAUGUUCCCAAUUGUAUUUGGUCCGGAGGCUUUGAAGUCAAUAAGAAUAAUUCCUUCCAUAUCAACAUGAGAGAUACCCUGGGGAAGUGCUUCUUCCUGCGUGUGGAAAUUACUCUCCGAGGAGCUACCUACAGGAUCUCAUUUAGUGACACGGACCAGUUACCACCGCCUUUCCGAAUUGACAACUUUUCUAAGGUUCCAGUGGUCUUUACUCAGCACGGUGUCGCUGAACCCAGACUCCGAACCGAAGUGAAGCCCAUGACGUCAUUGGAUUAUGCCUGGGAUGAACCCACCCUGCCUCCUUUCAUCACGCUCACCGUGAAGGGGGCGGGCUCCUCUGAGCUCAGCUGCAGCAUGAAUGAUUUUCAGGACAACCGACAGCUCUAUUACGAAAACUUCAUUUACAUCGCUGCUACGUAUACAUUCUCAGGUUUACAGGAGGGGACGGGAAGGCCCGGGGCCUCUAGCAAGACCACUGCGUGUGCGGAGCUCGUCUUGGAUGUCUCCCCAAAGACGCAAAGAGUCAUUUUAAAGAAGAAGGAGCCCGGGAAGCGCUCCCAACUGUGGAGGAUGACCGGCACGGGCAUGCUGGCCCACGAGGGAUCUUCGGUGCCUCACAACCCCAAUAAGCCCUCCGCAGCCCGCUCCCCCGAGGGCUCCGCCAUCUUGGAUAUCGCUGGUCUUGCGGCAGUAACUGACAACAGAUACGAGCCACUGAUGCUACGCAAGCCGGAUCGCAGGCGAAGCACAACUCAGACGUGGAGUUUCCGGGAAGGAAAACUGACCUGUGGGCUGCACGGGUUGGUUGUCCAGGCCAAAGGAGGGCUUUCCGGUUUGUUUGAUGGAGCUGAAGUUGUUCUUGGUCCUGACACUUCCAUGGAGCUUCUGGGGCCAGUUCCUCCUGAACAACAGUUUAUCAACCAAAAAAUGAGGCCUGGUUCUGGAAUGUUAUCUAUCCGAGUCAUCCCAGAUGGGCCGACCAGAGCACUCCAGAUAACAGAUUUCUCCCAACGGAAAAGUGACCGUUCAUCAUAUGAAAUGGAUGAACUUCCCGUUACCGAGCAAGAGGUACAGAAAUUAAAGAAUCCAGACACAGAGCAGGAACUGGAAGUGCUUGUGAAGUUAGAAGGUGGAAUUGGGUUGUCCUUAAUUAAUAAAGUCCCAGAAGAACUGGUCUUUGCAAGUCUUACAGGAAUCAAUGUGCAUUACACACAGCUGGCAACAAGUCACAUGCUUGAGCUGAGCAUACAGGAUGUGCAGGUGGACAAUCAGCUCAUUGGUACCACUCAGCCCUUCAUGCUGUACGUGACUCCCCUGAGCAAUGAGAAUGAGGUCAUCGAGACCGGCCCGGCCGUGCAGGUGAACGCGGUGAAGUUCCCCAGUAAGAGUGCGUUGACCAACAUCUACAAGCAUCUGAUGAUCACGGCUCAGAGAUUCACAGUGCAAAUUGAAGAGAAACUGCUCCUCAAGCUGCUGAGUUUUUUUGGCUACGAUCAAGCAGAAUCAGAGGUGGAAAAGUACGAUGAAAACCUCCACGAUAAGACGGCUGAGCAGGGUGGAACACCAAUUCGGUACUACUUCGAAAACCUCAAAAUCAGCAUUCCCCAGAUCAAGCUGAGCGUGUUCACCUCCAACAAGCUACCACUGGAUCUCAAGGCUCUAAAAAGUACCUUGGGAUUUCCACUGAUUCGGUUUGAGGACGCCGUGAUUAAUCUGGAUCCAUUCACUCGGGUACAUCCCUAUGAGACCAAGGAGUUCAUCAUCAAUGAUAUCCUCAAACACUUCCAGGAGGAACUCCUCAGCCAGGCAGCUCGGAUCUUGGGAUCUGUGGACUUUCUCGGCAAUCCCAUGGGGCUGUUGAAUGAUGUUUCUGAAGGGGUUACUGGACUGAUAAAAUACGGAAAUGUCGGAGGCCUCAUCAGAAAUGUCACGCACGGCGUAUCAAACUCAGCUGCCAAGUUCGCAGGGACAUUAUCGGACGGCUUAGGGAAGACGAUGGACAAUCGGCAUCAGUCGGAGCGGGAGUACAUCAGAUACCAUGCAGCCACAAGUGGGGAGCACCUCGUUGCCGGCAUCCAUGGCCUGGCUCAUGGGAUCAUCGGGGGCCUGACCAGUGUGAUAACCUCGACAGUGGAAGGAGUGAAAACGGAAGGGGGCGUCAGCGGUUUCAUAUCUGGCCUUGGGAAGGGGCUUGUUGGCACUGUAACCAAACCAGUGGCAGGUGCCCUGGAUUUCGCAUCAGAAACAGCCCAGGCGGUGAGAGACACAGCCACGCUCAGUGGCCCCAGGACUCAAGCCCAGAGGGUUCGGAAGCCGCGCUGCUGCACCGGGCCCCAGGGGCUGCUGCCCCGCUACUCGGAGAGCCAGGCGGAGGGGCAGGAGCAGCUCUUCAAACUGACAGACAACAUUCAAGAUGAAUUUUAGACUCACUGUUUCACUUCUGGAAAAUGUUGUGUAAUUACUUCCUGAUGUAGUGAAAACCCCACAAAGUCCCCAGCGCCGUGGGCACUUCAACUUUGUCCUCCCAGAGAAGUAUAAAAAAAGAACAGAAAAACAGCCUGUAAACCCACCAGCCAAACCAGUUCUUUCUCUGACGAAAGAAGCACAGGCACGUGGUCAGCACAUCGAGAGCACAGAAAGAAAUGAACUCAAGAGCAAAUUCUCCUUUCUUGCCCUCUUUGUAACCAUACUGUUUAUGAUAUUUUCGGUCUCGUCUACCCUUCUUCACAAAUUGCAGAUAGAGAAAGAAAUCAGAAAUUUUUUUAGAGCGCAGGUUAUAGUGUUGAUUCUAACAGCAUAGAACCAUCAAUGUAAACGUUAUAGCAGCAGAUACAGCUUGAAAACGAGAACAAAAAAAGACCCUUUUGAGCAAUGGGAUAAAAUUCAUUUGCUUCCAUUUUCCAAACUGGAUCAUAAUCUGUCCAUAACCAUUGACACUUAGGGAAUUGGACAUUCUUUGCUAUGCCCCUGAAUGAAAAUUUGUAUGUGACAGAUCAGCCAGCUGUGCUGAAAAAAGUUAAUGGCUUGACUCUAUCUGUAAUAAGUUAGAUCAAGAGUUCCAAGAGAGUUUUGUAACUUCACUUCUGGGUAAAAUACAGUCCCAACAUACAAAGUUGCAUGUGCUCGGGCAGACUCCCCUGGAUCUUACAAUGUAAAUUCACUGUCAUUUUGUAAAACUACCUAGCGCGUCAGUGUGUCGAAUGCUGCUCUGUGCCAGGGCGAGUGAGAAGUUUUUUUCUUUCCUUGACGAGUUCGCAGUCUGGCAGGGGAAGCAGGACGGUAUUACUAACCAACUAUAACGUAUGAUUGCUUUGAAAAAAUAGAAGUGUGAGCUGUGUGUUAUGAGGCCUCAAGGGGAAGUGAUUAAUUUAUGCUUGGAGAGCCAGGAAAGGCUAUGGAUGGUUGACCUGGUCCAACAGGAUGAGGAGAAUUGUGCCUGGGAGAGGAGAGAGAAAGCCCCAAACAAAGAGAAGGAUUAGUGCUGGGCACAGGCGUGGAGGCGGCAGAGUUCCUGGAUGGUUGGGGUCCGCCGGGUGUGGUGGCAGGUGGCCCACAGUCCAGAUCCUAAGAGCUGUACUGAACUCGCCUGUCCUGUAGGCAGUGGUGAGAUUUUGAAGAGGACCCCACUGAGAAUUACAUGUUCACAAUGUCACCUUGCCGGCAGCAGAGAAACGGAUCACAGUCAGAGACACGCGACAGGAAGGCAGUAGGGGGGGGGGCGUGGGCGUGGUCCACGCCAAUAGUGGGGGGACCCCAGUGCAGAUGGUGGCUGCGAACAGGAGUGGGGGGACAGAGCUGAGGUGGUUUGGGGAGGUGGCAUCAGCGCUGACUAAAUACAGAGUCGGAGUGAGGAGGAGAUGAGAGUGACCUCCGGGCCACUUGUCCGUGUGGCUGGAUGGAGAUGUGGCCCAGUGUGCCAGGCAGGCUGAGGGAGGAGGGGGGCUGGAGGAAGGGGCAGCAGCCUGGCCGAGCACAUGCUGAGCGUGGGGACCUGUGGGCGUGUGUGCACAGAGAACCUCUGGGCUCUUAACAGGUCAGAGGCUAGAAGGGUGUGCCCAGGGUCCCCCUGAGACCACACUGGCUUUCGUCCUGUGCCAUCCCGUGAGGUUUUGCCACAGUCCCUUCAUUUGUGGGCCAAGAGCAGCCCUGCGUGAAACGGGCUUGUUCCAGAAUGAACAGUGGGAAGCCCAGUGUCCAGACACAGCUCCAGGGCGGCCGUGGCGCCGUGAGCUGUGUGAGCAAACGCCGCGCCUCCCGAGAGAAGCAGCUUCUGCAGGUGGGUGGCUCGGAAGGGACAAAGUGCUGUGGCUCCGAAGAAAGGGACAGAGGACGGUGCUGCUGGCAGAGGGGAAGGCCCGAGAGCGCUGCCUUGGCCGGCUUCUCCGGUCACCCUGAGCUGCGGCUCCUCUCACAGACGAGGGACAUGUUUCGGAUCUGUCUCCACAGCAGGGGACCUCUAGUCUAGAGCUGAGCUGUAAUCAUCCUAGAUGCUGUAAAGGAGACAAAGAGGAGGAGGAGGAGGAAGAAACCCGGGGCACUGGCGGCAGGCGGUAGGGGUGUUGGCACGCAUCAGGAGGGAAACAGAGAGGCAGAGCUGUUUGCAGUGUCAGCCGCUGGGUCCUUGCUCGGGCGGCUCCAGGGACACGGCCCCCGGCCAUGGCUUCACUCUCUCCGUUUCUCCUCCUCUCACUUGCACCGGCUCUGAUCUGCUCUUGAUUUGAAAAGACUUCAAAGAGUUGAUGCACGUGUCGAGGGUGUGAUUCCCGGUGGUGGCUUCAGGGUCCGAAUGGGGCCCCUGGGCACAGAACAGAGGUCUGGCCAUGAAUUCUUCAGACUUUGCCACUUGGUGAAGAACCUGGCAGAUAGCGUCACCUCUGUCAGAUGAAGAAAGCGAGCCACAGGGACGGCAGCUGGCCUGCGCAGAGUCACCCGGCCUGGCAGCCUUUCCUCCUCUGUGACAAGUGCCACCAUCGAGCCUCCAAGCCCAGAGCCACCCUUCCUCCCGCGGCAGCUCUGGCUGGACUAAGGACUUUGCCAUCUGUGGCAUCUUGGAAAGGAGUCUAUUUGAAAGCCUGUGAAAGUGUUCCAGUGUGGAAAGUGCACUAAUAAUGUCAGCCACCCUGGCCUGGGCGCGAGAACAGCUGCCCGGAUGGAAAGGCCUGGCUUUCUAGAGGCUGGGCCUCCGUGUCCGCUACGGCAGGUUCCAGACAGGUGCAAGUGGGGGUAAGGGUCAUGGGGUAGGUCCAUCCGCACUGGACCAGAGGAGAGGAAAUAACCUCAGCUGGAUUUUUAUUUUUUAUUUUUUAAAGAUUUUAUUUAUUUGAGAGAGAAUGAGCAGAGUGAGAGAGACCAUACAAGCAGGGGGAGAAGCAGAGGGAGAAACAGACUUUCCGCUGAGCAGGGAGCCCGGUAUGGAGCUCGAUCCCAGGACCCUGAGAUCGUGACCUGAGCUGAAGGCAGACACUUAACCGCCUGAGCCACCCAGGCGCCCCUCAGUUGGAUUUUUAAUGCACAUUCCUGCUCUCACCCCCAGGCAGCGGCCAAUUUUGGGGUCUCCUUUGGGAGCCCAUUGCAUGCCCAGCCUACCUGUACUCAGAAACCAUGGACCGUUUGCAGUUUUCAUGUCAGUUGCUCAGCAAGUUCUGGGCCUGUGGUGCUUCCUGUCUGCAUCAGGAUGCUUUUGUCAUCUGUCUCUCUCUCUCUGUCUCCCUCUGUUUCUCCUUUCUUCCCCCUACCCCGGAGGAGCUGUUGGAGAUUCCUUUCAGUUUGAUUAAGCGAUAACGCUCCUGCCUUGAUACUGUCAGAACCUAGAAUGUGGGAAAUUCUGCACUAAGCGGCCUGAACACCAAAAGCUGCCGGGUAGUUCUGAUUUUGGCAUUGAGACUUUACAAGUCUGCAUUCUUGGCAUUGCCAACCAGUUAGAAUAGAACAAUAAACCCCAAUUUUUGUCAUGCAAGGCUGUAAUUAAAAUGGCAACUGGAACAGACGGAUACUUACUUGAGUACGUAGGGGGUGGCUGACUCGGUGGUGGUAGGCUCAGAGAGACGCGGGGGUGUGCGAUGCGGACCCCCCCCCCCCCCGCCCCGC